rnacentral:rRNA from 1 species
AACGAACGCUGGCGGCAGGCUUAACACAUGCAAGUCGAGCGCCCCGCAAGGGGAGCGGCAGACGGGUGAGUAACGCGUGGGAACGUACCCUUUGCUACGGAAUAGCUCCGGGAAACUGGAAUUAAUACCGUAUGUGCCCUACAGGGGAAAGAUUUAUCGGCAAAGGAUCGGCCCGCGUUGGAUUAGCUAGUUGGUGGGGUAAUGGCCUACCAAGGCGACGAUCCAUAGCUGGUCUGAGAGGAUGAUCAGCCACAUUGGGGCUGAGACACGGCCCAAACUCCUACGGGAGGCAGCAGUGGGGAAGAUUGGACAAUGGGCGCAAGCCUGAUCCAGCCAUGCCGCGUGAGUGAUGAAGGCCUUAGGGUUGUAAAGCUCUUUCACCGGAGAAGAUAAUGACGGUAUCCGGAGAAGAAGCCCCGGCUAACUUCGUGCCAGCCGCCGCGGUAAGAC